UAACCUACCUCAUAGUGGGGGAUAACAGUCGGAAACGACUGCUAAUACCGCAUAGGACAUGGAAUCACAUGAUUCAGUGAGGAAAGGUGGCGCAAGCUAUCGCUAAGAGAUGGACCCGCGGUGCAUUAGCUAGUUGGUAGGGUAACGGCCUACCAAGGCGAUGAUGCAUAGCCGACCUGAGAGGGUGAUCGGCCACAUUGGGACUGAGACACGGCCCAA
rnacentral:rRNA from 1 species